UACGGGGGGGCAAGCGUUGUUCGGAAUUACUGGCGUAAAGGGCUCGUAGGCGGCCAACUAAGUCGGACGUGAAAUCCCUCAGCUUAACUGGGGAACUGCGUCCGAUACUGGAUGGCUUGGAUUCGGGAGAGGGAUGCGGAAUUCCAGGUGUAGCGGUGAAAUGCGUAGAUAGUCUGGAGGAACACCGGUGGCGAAGGCGGCAUCCUGGACCGAUAUUGACGCUGAGGAGCGAAAGCAUGGGGAGCGAACAGG
rnacentral:rRNA from 1 species